AACUUUUGACAAUGGAUCUCUUGGUUCUGGCAUCGAUGGAGAACGCAGCGAAAUGCGAUAAGUAGUGUGAAUUGCAGAAUUCAGUGAAUCAUCGAAUCUUUGAACGCACAUUGCGCCCCUUGGCAUCCCGAGGGGCAUGCCUGUUCGAGCGUCAUUUCACCACUCAAGCCCGGCUUGGUGUUGGGCGACGUCCCCUUUGGGGACGCGCCUUGAAACGCUCGGCGGCGUGGCACCGGCUUUAAGCGUAGCAGAAUCUUUCGCUUCGAAAGUCGGAGCCCCGUCUGCCGGAAGACCUACUCGCAAGGUUGACCUCGGAUCCGGCAGGGAUACCCGCUGAACUUAAGCAGAUCAAUAAGCGGAGGCU
rnacentral:misc_RNA from 1 species